rnacentral:rRNA from 2 species
AGAAGAUGGUAAGGGCAAACGGUGGAUGCCUUGGCACAAGAAGCCGAUGAAGGACGUGAUAAGCUGCGAUAAGCCACGGUAAGGAGCACAUAUCCUGUGACCCGUGGAUUUCCGAAUGGGUAAACCCACCAAGAGUCAUUUCUUGGUACUUCCUGCUGAAUAUAUAGGCAGGAUAGAGGUAACCGGGGGAACUGAAACAUCUAAGUACCCCGAGGAAGAGAAAUCAAACGAGAUUCCCCUAGUAGUGGCGAGCGAACGGGGAUAUAGGACAAACCGUCAGUUGCGCAAGCGCUGGCGGGGUUGUAGGACCAUUCAUUGUGGAGUUACAAAACUUCGUGGAAGCAGAAUAGCUUGGAAAAGCUGGCGAGACAGGGUAAAAGCCCCGUACGCGAAUCUGCGAAGACUCCCGAGUGGCACCUGAGUACUGCCGGACACGUGAAACCCGGUGGGAACCUGGGGGGUCCACCCUCCAAUCCUAAAUACUCUCUUGUGACCGAUAGUGAACCAGUACCGUGAGGGAAAGGUGAAAAGCACCCCUAGCGGGGAGUGAAAUAGUACCUGAAACCGUUUGCCUACAAGCAGUCGGAGCAGACUUUUGUCUGUGACGGCGUGCCUUUUGUAGAAUGAGCCAGCGAGUUACGGCAUGUGGCAAGGUUAAGCUAAAAAGCGAGCCGCAGCGAAAGCGAGUCUGAAUAGGGCGAGUGAGUCGCAUACCGUAGACGCGAAGCCAGGUGAGCUAUCCAUGAGCAGGCUGAAGCGGGGGUAAGACCCCGUGGAGGGCCGAACCCACUUAGGUUGAAAACUGAGGGGAUGACUUGUGGAUAGGAGUGAAAGGCCUAUCAAACCUGGAGAUAUCUCGUUCUCUCCGAAAUAGCUUUAGGGCUAGCCUCGGAUGUUUACCAAUGGGGGUAGAGCACUGAAUAGUUGCGGGGGCUUCACCGCCUACCAAGAUUAAUCAAACUCCGAAUACCAUUGGUCUAGAAUCCGGGAGUCAGAAUAUGUGGGCUAAGCUGUGUAUUCGAAAGGGAAACAGCCCAGACCGCCCGCUAAGGUCCCAAAAUCAAUGCUAAGUGGCAAAGGAUGUGCGUUUGCUCAGACAACCAGGAUGUUGGCUUAGAAGCAGCCAUUCAUUUAAAGAGUGCGUAAUAGCUCACUGGUCGAGUGGACAUGCGCCGACAAUAUACGGGGCUAAGCAUUGUACCGAAGCGGCGGAUCAGUACUUUGUACUGGUGGUAGGAGAGCUUUCUGUACGGGUUGAAGCAGUUGGAUAACCAACUGUGGACUGUCCAGAAGUGAGAAUGCUGGCAUGAGUAACGAGAGACAUGUAAAAAACAUGUCCGCCGUAAACCCAAGGUUUCCUGGGCAAGGCUAAUCCUCCCAGGGUUAGGCGGGAGCUAAGGCAAGGCCGGAAGGCGUAGUCGAUGCACAACAGGUAGAAAUUCCUGUCCCUCCAAAAGAGCGUUAUCACCAAUGGGGUGACGGAGCAGGGUAGCUAGGCGGGGUUCUGGACGUCCCCGUGAUGGCACGUAGGCUGAGAAGUAGUGAAAUGCGCUUCUCGUGAUGGCUGAGGUGUCGGACGAAGCAAUUGAGUGAAGCUAGUAAGCCCAUACUUCCAAGAAAAACCUCUAGGGAGCUCUGAGGAGCCCGUACCGCAAACCGACACAGGUGGGUGGGUAGAGCAUACCAAGGCGAUCGGGAGAACUAUGGUUAAGGAACUCGGCAAAAUUGCCCCGUAACUUCGGGAGAAGGGGUGCCGGUUUCGGUGAAGGGAUUUACUCCCCGAGCUAAGAUCGGUCACAGUAAAUAGGUCCAAGCGACUGUUUAUCAAAAACACAGGACUCUGCUGAAGUCGUAAGACGACGUAUAGGGUCUGACGCCUGCCCGGUGCCGGAAGGUCACGAGGAGUUGUUAGCAUUAGCGAAGCAGCGAAUCUAAGCCCCGGUAAACGGCGGCCGUAACUAUAACGGUCCUAAGGUAGCGAAAUUCCUUGUCGGGU